GUCGUCAGCUGCUACCAUGCAGUCGAGCGGUAGCACAGAGAGCUUGCUCUCGGGUGACGAGCGGCGGACGGGUGAGUAAUGUCUGGGAAACUGCCUGAUGGAGGGGGAUAACUACUGGAAACGGUAGCUAAUACCGCAUAACGUCGCAAGACCAAAGUGGGGGACCUUCGGGCCUCAUGCCAUCAGAUGUGCCCAGAUGGGAUUAGCUAGUAGGUGGGGUAACGGCUCACCUAGGCGACGAUCCCUAGCUGGUCUGAGAGGAUGACCAGCCACACUGGAACUGAGACACGGUCCAGACUCCUACGGGAGGCAGCAGUGGGGAAUAUUGCACAAUGGGCGCAAGCCUGAUGCAGCCAUGCCGCGUGUAUGAAGAAGGCCUUCGGGUUGUAAAGUACUUUCAGCGGGGAGGAAGGCGAUAAGGUUAAUAACCUUGUCGAUUGACGUUACCCGCAGAAGAAGCACCGGCUAACUCCGUGCCAGCAGCCGCGGUAAUACGGAGGGUGCAAGCGUUAAUCGGAAUUACUGGGCGUAAAGCGCACGCAGGCGGUCUGUCAAGUCGGAUGUGAAAUCCCCGGGCUCAACCUGGGAACUGCAUUCGAAACUGGCAGGCUAGAGUCUUGUAGAGGGGGGUAGAAUUCCAGGUGUAGCGGUGAAAUGCGUAGAGAUCUGGAGGAAUACCGGUGGCGAAGGCGGCCCCCUGGACAAAGACUGACGCUCAGGUGCGAAAGCGUGGGGAGCAAACAGGAUUAGAUACCCUGGUAGUCCACGCCGUAAACGAUGUCGAUUUGGAGGUUGUGCCCUUGAGGCGUGGCUUCCGGAGCUAACGCGUUAAAUCGACCGCCUGGGGAGUACGGCCGCAAGGUUAAAACUCAAAUGAAUUGACGGGGGCCCGCACAAGCGGUGGAGCAUGUGGUUUAAUUCGAUGCAACGCGAAGAACCUUACCUGGUCUUGACAUCCACAGAACUUGCCAGAGAUGGGCUUGGUGCCCUUCGGGAACUGUGAGACAGUGCUGCAUGGCUGUCGUCAGCUCGUGUUGUGAAAUGUUUGGGUUUAAGUCCCGCAACGAGCGCAACCCUUAUCCUUUGUUGCCAGCGGGUUAGUCGGGAACUCAAGGAGACUGCCAGUGAUAACUGGAGAAAGUGGGGAUGACGUCAGUCAUCAUGGGCCUUACGACCAGGGCCUACACACACGUGCA
rnacentral:rRNA from 1 species